GACGAACGCUGGCGGCGUGCUUAACACAUGCAAGUCGAACGGAAAGGCCCUGCUUGCAGGGUACUCGAGUGGCGAACGGGUGAGUAACACGUGGGUGAUCUGCCCUGCACUUCGGGAUAAGCCUGGGAAACUGGGUCUAAUACCGGAUAGGAGCCAUUUUUAGUGUGAUGGUUGGAAAGUUUUGUCGGUGUAGGAUGAGCUCGCGGCGUAUCAGCUUGUUGGUGGGGUAAUGGCCUACCAAGGCGGCGACGGGUAGCCGGCCUGAGAGGGUGGACGGCCACAUUGGGACUGAGAUACGGCCCAGACUCCUACGGGAGGCAGCAGUGGGGAAUAUUGCACAAUGGGCGCAAGCCUGAUGCAGCGACGCCGCGUGGGGGAUGACGGCCUUCGGGUUGUAAACUCCUUUCGCUAGGGACGAAGCUUUUGUGACGGUACCUAGAUAAGAAGCACCGGCUAACUACGUG
rnacentral:rRNA from 1 species